rnacentral:rRNA from 1 species
AUUGAACGCUGGCGGAAUGCUUUACACAUGCAAGUCGAACGGUAGAGGGGGCAACCUCUUGAGAGUGGCGAACGGGUGAGUAAUGUAUCGGAACGUGCCCAGUCGUGGGGGAUAACGUAGUGAAAAUUACGCUAAUACCGCAUACGAUCUAUGGAUGAAAGCGGGGGAUCGCGAGACCUCGCGCGAUUGGAGCGGCCGAUAUCAGAUUAGGUAGUUGGUGAGGUAAAGGCUCACCAAGCCAACGAUCUGUAGCUGGUCUGAGAGGACGACCAGCCACACUGGAACUGAGACACGGUCCAGACUCCUACGGGAGGCAGCAGUGGGAAUUUUGGACAAUGGACGCAAGUCUGAUCCAGCCAUUCCGCGUGCAGGACGAAGGCCUUCGGGUUGUAAACUGCUUUUGUACGGAACGAAAAAGCUCUUAUUAAUACUAGGAGUCCAUGACGGUACCGUAAGAAUAAGCACCGGCUAACUACGUGCCAGCCGCCGCAGUAA